rnacentral:rRNA from 1 species
AACGAACGCUGGCGGCAUGCCUAACACAUGCAAGUCGAACGAAGGCUUCGGCCUUAGUGGCGCACGGGUGCGUAACGCGUGGGAACCUGCCCCUCGGUUCGGAAUAACAGUUAGAAAUGACUGCUAAUACCGGAUGAUGACUUCGGUCCAAAGAUUUAUCGCCGAGGGAUGGGCCCGCGUAGGAUUAGCUAGUUGGUGGGGUAAAGCCUACCAAGGCGACGAUCCUUAGCUGGUCUGAGAGGAUGAUCAGCCACACUGGGACUGAGACACGGCCCAGACUCCUACGGGAGGCAGCAGUGGGGAAUAUUGGACAAUGGGCGAAAGCCUGAUCCAGCAAUGCCGCGUGAGUGAUGAAGGCCUUAGGGUUGUAAAGCUCUUUUACCAGGGAUGAUAAUGACAGUACCUGGAGAAUAAGCUCCGGCUAACUCCGUG